rnacentral:lncRNA from 1 species
CCCAGGCCAGGCUGCUCUCGCUAUUUCCACUUCUCUCACACGUGACGCGAGCAACAGGAAUCCGGGGAGACCCAGAUCCUUUGUCGUGUUGGGAACCGAAAUGCCUGGGGCGGCAGCCAAGGGAGAGGCUGAGGGCAAGGAGGGUCAGCAGGGCGGGGGCUGAAGGCGGAGCCGAGGCCUGCAGGGUUGGGGUGAAGCCCUGGGGAGACGGCCUGGAGAGAAGGCCUGGGAGAGGCAGGCCGCGGGUGGGGGCUGGGACCUGGGGCCCUGGUGGAUCAGGCCCAAGCACCAGCGCAUCUGCCGAGGCUGGGCGUCCCAGGCACAGACCGGGACAUGGGGUUGCAGUAGUUUUUUGGAUGGUGAGCUGAGAAGCAGAUCAGGAAAAGGGAAGAAGCCACAGAAGCAUGUCACCAGUUGGUAGCAGCAGGCUCAGUCCCAAGGGGGGCUUGACGUGGUUGAUCUCUUGGUUUCGGCUCAGGUCAUGGUCUCGGGGUCAUGAGAUCAAGCUCCACGUCUGGCUCCUCACUGGGCAUGGAAUCUGCUUGAGAUUGUCUCUCUCCCUCUGCCCCACCCCUGCUCAAAAAAAAUUAAAUACAUAAAUAAAAGGGUAAAUUUUAUGGUAGGUGAAUGAUAUCUCCAUUCCACAAAGCACACAUGUAGUGGGGCCAUCUUCAUUUUUUUUUUUUUUAAGAUUUUAUUUACUUGAGAGAGUGUGUAAGAGCGCACAGAGGCAGAGGGAGAAGCUGAUUCCCCACUGAGCGGAGAGCCCGAUGUGGACUCAAUCCAGGACCCCGGGAUCAUGACCUGAGCCAAAUGCAGAUGCUUCACCAGCUGAGCCACCCAGGCACCCCUAGUGGGGCCAUCUUUAGAUAAGAUGGUCAGGGAGGGCCUCUGGGAGGAGGUGACAUUUUAGUUGAGGUCUGAGGGUUAAGGAGGAGUUGGCCAGAGAGGGGGGAAAGAGGAGGCGUAGCAUGUAGGGGGAGUGACAACAGGCUGAGGACGGUGACCUUGAGGGGAGAAGAACGAGGCAAAGUGAGGGGGUAGCAGCAGACCCGCAUGGCCUGGCAUCCAUACUGAGGGGUACAGAUCUCAUUCUGAAAGCAGGGCAGGCUGCUGGAGGAUCUAGGCAGGGGAGAGAGACACGAUGGGCUGGGGUUGGGGUGGGGCCACAGGAGGGGCCACAGGAGGUCUGUUCCACACCUGGCCCCCCAUCCAGGAGCAGGAGGCCAAGGGUGCAGCACAGAAGGGCCGGGUCAGGAGCUAGUCCUGUCACAAUCUGCCUCCUGCCCCUGGGGACCCAAGCAGAGGAGGGUCCCCGCCUGCCCCCCGGGGAGGGCGCGUGGGGUGGGGUGUGGUGUGGCAUGGUGAGGCUGGAGGCCAGGAUGAUUACAAAGGAAUUGUAAUUCCUCUCCCCUGGGAGGGUGGCAGGGAGGUGGCGGCUCCAGCAGGAGGACAGGAUGUGAGGGAGUGGGGAUUGUGGCCAUGUCACCUCAGCACGGAGGCCCAAAGCUCGCAGAGGAAAGACAGGCACGAAUGAGUGAAUGACGCGAGGCCCACACACGGAGCCCAAGGUGGUGGCUUCGCGGGCCAGCCCAGCCGGGGCCCUCUGUCCCUGCAGGAGCCGGGCCUGCAGACCUGUCCCCCACGGCCCCGACAUACUGU